UCAAACUCUGCUGAAGAUCGCGUCGAAAUGCGACGUGCAAAGUGUACUGCAUUUGUUGAAAAAGGAUUGCGUGUAUUUGAA
rnacentral:rRNA from 1 species